rnacentral:lncRNA from 1 species
UGGACGAGCAAACCCGUGCGGCGCCCCGAUGUCACCUGCACAAAGGAGCCAGCCAAAAUGCACCCAGCAAGAUGCACAGAAAAAUACAAGAAAAAGGCACGGCAACACGCUCAGAUAUGGCACUGUAAGAACAGUAUUUUCAUUAAUGAAAUCAGAGGAAUACAAGCCUAUACAACCGCUACUCAGACUACAAUUAGGGGCUCAGGAGGCAGGGGAGGCAACAAUGGACACCGCAAGAAUCUGCAAGGAAACCGGCCCACUGGAUUGUUCUCGCCCACCCUCCCAACACUAUACAAGCAGGGCAUCCACCCAAAUCCCACCCCGGGGGUUNNN